rnacentral:rRNA from 1 species
UGCGUAGGCGGAUUAAUAAGUCAGUGGUGAAAACCUGCAGCUUAACUGCAGACCUGCCAUUGAUACUGUUAGUCUUGAGUACGGUCAAGGUAGGCGGAAUGUGUAAUGUAGCGAUGAAAUGCUUAGAUAUUACACAGAACACCGAUUGCGAAGGCAGCUUACUGGGCCAUUACUGACGCUGAGGCACGAAAGCGUGGGGAGCGAACAGGAUUAGAUACCCUGGUAGUCC